rnacentral:rRNA from 1 species
AUUGAACGCUGGCGGCAUGCUUUACACAUGCAAGUCGAACGGCAGCAUGGGUGCUUGCACCUGAUGGCGAGUGGCGAACGGGUGAGUAAUGCAUCGGAACGUGCCCUGAAGUGGGGGAUAACGUAGCGAAAGUUACGCUAAUACCGCAUAUUCUGUGAGCAGGAAAGCAGGGGAUCGCAAGACCUCGCGCUUUAGGAGCGGCCGAUGUCGGAUUAGCUAGUUGGUGGGGUAAAGGCCUACCAAGGCGACGAUCCGUAGCGGGUCUGAGAGGAUGAUCCGCCACACUGGGACUGAGACACGGCCCAGACUCCUACGGGAGGCAGCAGUGGGGAAUUUUGGACAAUGGGCGCAAGCCUGAUCCAGCCAUGCCGCGUGAGUGAAGAAGGCCUUCGGGUUGUAAAGCUCUUUCGGCAGGGAAGAAAUCGCAUUCGCUAAUACCGGAUGUGGAUGACGGUACCUGCAUAAGAAGCACCGGCUAACUACGUGCCAGCAGCCGCCGCAGUAA